rnacentral:rRNA from 1 species
UACGUAGGUGGCAAGCGUUGUCCGGAUUUACUGGGCGUAAAGAGCGCGCAGGCGGUCGUCCAAGUCGCGUGUGAAAGCCCCCGGCUCAACUGGGGAGGGUCACGCGAUACUGAUCGACUCGAAGGCAGGAGAGGGAAGUGGAAUUCCCGGUGUAGUGGUGAAAUGCGUAGAUAUCGGGAGGAACACCAGUGGCGAAGGCGACUUCCUGGCCUGUUCUUGACGCUGAGGCGCGAAAGCUAGGGGAGUAAACGGG